UACGUAGGUGGCAAGCGUUGUCCGGAAUUAUUGGGCGUAAAGCGCGCGCAGGGGGUUUCUUAAGUCUGAUGUGAAAGCCCACGGCUCAACCGUGGAGGGUCAUUGGAAACUGGGGAACUUGAGUGCAGAAGAGGAUAGUGGAAUUCCAAGUGUAGCGGUGAAAUGCGUAGAGAUUUGGAGGAACACCAGUGGCGAAGGCGACUAUCUGGUCUGUAACUGACACUGAGGCGCGAAAGCGUGGGGAGCAAACAGG
rnacentral:rRNA from 1 species